UAGCAUCUAACUAUUUUGGUAUUAUUUUCCAGAUUUUACAAAAUACUCUGGAGUGAUUGAUUGAAUGGAAACAGCGUGUUAUUAAUAACAAAAUAAAGUCAAAAUACUUUCUUUCCAAUAAUACUGCCGAAGGGCCAAGAGUAACUUUAACUUCUACUCUAGAAAUGUGCAUCAACUUAAAAGAAAAAUAUGGUAUACGAUACAUUCUUACUGGAAAAAUUAACCAAGAUGCUUUGGAAAGUUGAAAAACGUCUUUAAGAUGUGGAAAGAGUCUUCAAAUGUACUCAAUUAAAAAACGCAUAUCACUUAUGAGCAUGGAUCACAAAUUAAUACUUUUGAAGAGUCAUAUCAGGAAUACAGGAAGUUCGGAGGCCAUCAAAAUUCAAUAAUCAUAUUUAACCAAAGAAA